AGCGAACGCUAGCGGCGGGCUUAACACAUGCAAGUCGAGCGCGUGGCUUCGGCCACGAGCGGCGAACGGGUGAGUAACACGUAGGUCAUCUGCCCUUUGGUGGGGAAUAACCCGAGGAAACUCGGGCUAAUACCGCAUACUGCCUUCGAGUCAAAGGCUUCGGCCGCCAGAGGAUGAGCCUGCGUCGCAUUACCUAGUUGGUGGGGUAAUGGCCCACCAAGGGGACGAUGCGUAGCUGGUCUGAGAGGAUGAUCAGCCACACUGGGACUGAGACACGGCCCAGACUCCUACGGGAGGCAGCAGUGGGGAAUAUUGCGCAAUGGGGGAAACCCUGACGCAGCCACGCCGCGUGGGUGAUGAAGGCCUCGGUUGUAAAGCCUGUCGGGAGGGACGGAAGUCAAUAGACGGUACCGUCCCAACGAAAGACACCGGCUAACUCCGUGCCAGCAGCCGCGGUAAA
rnacentral:rRNA from 1 species